UACGUAGGGUGCGAGCGUUAAUCGGAAUUACUGGGCGUAAAGCGUGCGCAGGCGGUUUUGUAAGUCAGUUGUGAAAGCCCCGGGCUCAACCUGGGAAUUGCAUUUGAGACUGUGUAGCUAGGGUGCGGAAGAGGGAAGCGGAAUUUCCGGUGUAGCGGUGAAAUGCGUAGAUAUCGGAAGGAACACCAGUGGCGAAAGCGGCUUCCUGGUCCAGCACCGACGUUCAGGCACGAAAGCGUGGGGAGCAAACAGG
rnacentral:rRNA from 1 species